GAUGAACGCUGACAGAAUGCUUAACACAUGCAAGUCAACUUGAACUUCGGUUUGGGUGGCGGACGGGUGAGUAACGCGUACAGAACUUGCCUCACAGCUAGGGACAACAUUUGGAAACGAAUGCUAAUACCUGAUAUUAUGAUUAUAUGGCAUCGUAUAAUUAUGAAAGCUAUAUGCGCUGUGAGAGAGCUUUGCGUCCCAUUAGCUAGUUGGAGAGGUAACAGCUCACCAAGGCGAUGAUGGGUAGCCGGCCUGAGAGGGUGAUCGGCCACAAGGGGACUGAGACACGGCCCUUACGCAUACGGGAGGCAGCAGUGGGGAAUAUUGGACAAUGGACCGAGAGUCUGAUCCAGCAAUUCUGUGUGCACGAUGAAGUUUUUCGGAAUGUAAAGUGCUUUCAGUUGGGAAGAAAAAAAUGACGGUACCAACAGAAGAAGUGACGGCUAAAUACGUG
rnacentral:rRNA from 1 species